AUUGAACGCUGGCGGCAGGCUUAACACAUGCAAGUCGAGCGGGGAAGGGUAGCUUGCUACCUAACCUAGCGGCGGACGGGUGAGUAAUGCUUAGGAAUCUGCCAUUUAGUGGGGGACAACAUUCCGAAAGGAAUGCUAAUACCGCAUACGUCCUACGGGAGAAAGCAGGGGAUCUUCGGACCUUGCGCUAAAUGAUGAGCCUAAGUCGGAUUAGCUAGUUGGUGGGGUAAAGGCCUACCAAGGCGACGAUCUGUAGCGGGUCUGAGAGGAUGAUCCGCAAGACUGGGGGGGAGACACGGCGCAGACUCCUACGGGAGGUAGCAGUGGGGAAUAUUUGACAAUGGGUGGAAGACUGAUCCAGCCAUGCCGCGUGUGUGAAGAAGGCCUUAUGGUUGUAAAGCACUUUAAGCGAGGAGGAGGCUACUUAGAUUAAUACUCUAGGAUAGUGGACGUUACUCGCAGAAUAAGCACCGGCUAACUCUGUGCCAGCCGCCGCAGUAAAAC
rnacentral:rRNA from 1 species